AAGACAGAGAAGAGCAAAGAAAUAAAUGGAUAAAUGGAUGGGAAGAAGGAACGUCAGAAUAUCAGGGUGCCCCUAAUGAGGGGAGGACUAGUCAAAGCAACCAUCAAUUCUGUACUAAAGCAACCAUCAAUUCUGCACCAGGACUUUUAUACAGACACUGAGGGACUUGGCCUUCCAGAUUUUUGUCUCCAAGAAGGAAAAUUUUCCAAAACCAGGAGGACAGGAGGCUGGAGGAUGAGGAAGGCUGUCAAUGCUUCCCAAAGCCCCUGCUUUCUACACACGUUCUCUGGUCCUCACCACUUUGACCCUGAAGAGAAAGGAAACUUUUGGAAAGAGUUUAAAACUACCUGAAAUGUUCAUUAUAAUUUUCCAACCAAUUAAACUUGCUGUGCAUAUCCUAAUUCUUUGUAACCCAUAAAUACAAACAGCAGUGAUGACAGCUCCUUAAACCCCAAGCUUGUA
rnacentral:lncRNA from 1 species